rnacentral:rRNA from 1 species
UACGAAGGGGGCUAGCGUUGCUCGGAAUUACUGGGCGUAAAGCGCACGUAGGCGGUCUUUUAAGUCAGGGGUGAAAUCCCGAGGCUCAACCUCGGAACUGCCCUUGAUACUGGGGAUCUCGAGUCCGGAAGAGGUUGGUGGAACUCCGAGUGUAGAGGUGAAAUUCGUAGAUAUUCGGAAGAACACCAGUGGCGAAGGCGGCCAACUGGUCCGGCACUGAC